AGUGGCGAACGGGUGAGUAAUGCGUCGGAAUGUACCGAGUAAUGGGGGAUAGCCCGGCGAAAGCCGGAUUAAUACCGCAUACGUCCUACGGGAGAAAGCAGGGGAUCGCAAGACCUUGCGUUAUUCGAGCAGCCGACGUCUGAUUAGCUAGUUGGUGGGGUAAAGGCCUACCAAGGCGACGAUCAGUAGCGGGUCUGAGAGGAUGAUCCGCCACACUGGUACUGAGACACGGACCAGACUCCUACGGGAGGCAGCAGUGGGGAAUUUUGGACAAUGGGGGCAACCCUGAUCCAGCCAUUCCGCGUGGAGUGAAGAAGGCCUUCGGGUUGUAAAGCUCUUUCGGCAGGAAAGAAAUCGCAUGCUCUAACAUAGUGUGUGGAUGACGGUACCUGAAGAAGAAGCACCGGCUAACUACGUGCCAGCAGCCGCGGUAAUACGUAGGGUGCGAGCG
rnacentral:rRNA from 1 species